AUUGAACGCUGGCGGCAGGCUUAACACAUGCAAGUCGAGCGAGUGGCGGACGGGUGAGUAAUGUCUGGGAAACUGCCUGAUGGAGGGGGAUACCUACUGGAAACGGUAGCUAAUACCGCAUACCAUCAGAUGUGCCCAGAUGGGAUUAGCUAGUAGGUGGGGUAAAGGCUCACCUAUGCGACGAUCCCUAGCUGGUCUGAGAGGAUGACCAGCCACACUGGAACUGAGACACGGUCCAGACUCCUACGGGAGGCAGCAGUGGGGAAUAUGGCACAAGGGGCGCAAGCCUGAUGCAGCCAUGCCGCGUGUAUGAAGAAGGCCUUCGGGUUGUAAAGUACUUUCAGCGAGGAGGCGUUACUCGCAGAAGAAGCACCGGCUAACUCCGUGCCAGCAGCCGCGGUAAUAC
rnacentral:rRNA from 1 species